GGCCAGUCACGUAACACAGUCUUUGGGGAAAAGGGAGGGAGCACGUCUGGAGCGUGCGGACAGCCGCGCGCGUGUUCUGGUCCGCAGACAGGCUCGCGUACCCGGGAGCGAGAGGGCGAUCGCUGCGGGCGCGGAUGAGAGGGCAGUUUCAGAGGAAAACCACGGACUGGGGUAGACGAGCUGGGGCUCCUCGGAGCGGAGAAAGAGGAAACACCACCCCUAAAUAUUAACGAGAGUGUAGUGGUCGAGGUAUCUGCAAAGGCGGUAAUGGCCCGUAUUCAUUCGUUUGCAAGCGUGAACUUCUUGCCUGAAGACUAUAAAAACUAACUAGCUUGAAAAUGGAAAACCAAGAAUCAGCGGAGUCUUCUCAAAAUACCAAACAGUCUAUUAUUUCAGAGGAGUUAAUUUCAGAAGGAAAAUGGAUCAAGUUUGAAAAAACAACUUACAUGGAUCCUACUGGUAAAAUAAGAACCUGGGAAACUGUGAAACGUACAACCAGGAAAGGACAGUCGGCUGAUGGUAUGAGCGCAAACCCAUCACAGCUCUUCAUAAAGGAAGUCACCACACAUGAUUGUAGGAGGCCAGGUGUGGCGGUUAUCCCGGUGCUGCAAAGAACUCUUCACUACGAAUGUGUUGUUCUGGUGAAACAGUUCCGACCACCAAUGGGAUGCUACUGCCUAGAAUUCCCCGCAGGUCUCAUAGAUGAUGAUGAAAGCCCAGAAGCAGCUGCCCUCCGGGAGCUUGAGGAGGAAACUGGCUAUAAAGGUGACAUUGCUGAAUGUUCUCCAGCUCUAUGCACAGACCCAGGUUUGUCAAACUGUACCACACACAUGGUGACAGUGACCAUCAAUGGAGAUGAUGCUGAAAAUGUAAGACCUAAGCCAAAGCCAGGAGAUGGAGGUAUGUUACUCAACUCCCAGUGGCUGACCGUGUCUAUGGCUUAGUGUAGUGGCAGUGGCUACAGGCAUUUUGUGGUGUUCUGGUAGGCCCUCUUGUGCUUUACUUUGUUUUCAUUUGUACUUUGUUUGUUUAGAAUUUGUGGAAGUAAUUUCCUUACCAAAGAAUGACCUGCUGAAGAGAAUUGAUGCUCUGGUAGCCGAGGAACAUCUGACGGUGGAUGCCAGGGUUUAUUCCUAUGCUCUGGCCCUGAAACACGCAAACACGAAGCCGUUUGAAGUGCCCUUCCUCAAGUUUUAAGGCCAAAGGACAAUGGCCAUGCUUUUAUAAGCAAAACCACCAGGCCUCCUUCACUAAGACUUUGUAUUCAGCUUUAGUCUAAUGUAGAUUUGAAAUUAGCUUUUUCAUAAAAUAAAAGCAACACAGAAUGCA